rnacentral:rRNA from 1 species
UAUACAGCGAAACUGCGAAUGGCUCAUUAUAUAAGUUAUCGUUUAUUUGAUAGUACCUUACUACAUGGAUAACCGUGGUAAUUCUAGAGCUAAUACAUGCUAAAAAUCCCGACUUCGGAAGGGAUGUAUUUAUUAGAUUAAAAACCAAUGCCCUCUGGGCUCCUUGGUGAUUCAUGAUAACUUCUCGAAUCGCAUGGCCUUGCGCCGGCGAUGGUUCAUUCAAAUUUCUUCCCUAUCAACUUUCGAUGUUUGGGUAUUGGCCAAACAUGGUCGCAACGGGUAACGGAGGGUUAGGGCUCGACCCCGGAGAAGGAGCCUGAGAAACGGCUACUACAUCCAAGGAAGGCAGCAGGCGCGCAAAUUACCCAAUCCCGACACGGGGAGGUAGUGACAAUAAAUACUGAUACAGGGCUCUUUCGGGUCUUGUAAUUGGAAUGAGUACAAUUUAAAUCCCUUAACGAGGAACAAUUGGAGGGCAAGUCUGGUGCCAGCAGCCGCGGUAAUUCCAGCUCCAAUAGCGUAUAUUAAAGUUGUUGUGGUUAAAAAGCUCGUAGUUGAACCUUGGGCCUGGCUGUCCGGUCCGCCUCACCGCGUGUACUGGUUCGGCCGGGCCUUUCCCUCUGUGGAACCUCAUGCCCUUCACUGGGCGUGACGGGGAAACAGGACUUUUACUGUGAAAAAAUUAGAGUGCUCCAGGCAGGCCUAUGCUCGAAUACAUUAGCAUGGAAUAAUGAAAUAGGACGUGCGGUUCUAUUUUGUUGGUUUCUAGGACCGCCGUAAUGAUUAAUAGGGACAGUCGGGGGCAUCAGUAUUCAAUUGUCAGAGGUGAAAUUCUUGGAUUUAUUGAAGACUAACUACUGCGAAAGCAUUUGCCAAGGAUGUUUUCAUUAAUCAGGAACGAAAGUUAGGGGAUCGAAGACGAUCAGAUACCGUCGUAGUCUUAACCAUAAACUAUGCCGACUAGGGAUCGGACGAUGUAAAUAAUUGACUCGUUCGGCACCUUACGAGAAAUCAAA